rnacentral:lncRNA from 1 species
AGCAAGGUGAAUUCCCAUCUAACCUACUGCUCAGACAAAAACUCUCCUCCAACCCAGAGACUGCAAUCACAGCGAAGAUCCACCUGAAGAGCACUAAAAAAGGAUAAUAGCUGAAAUUUCUUCCUGCUCAGUAUGCACGAUCAAGCAGAUUUCAAGGGUGAUGGGGCAAGGAGAAGGUCUUUGUCUCGCUCAUUAAUCACCACGGUGUGAGCAGCGCGUGUCCCAGAAUAGAUGCUGUGGCUGGCAGAUCCAUUCCGCUCUCUGACCAGAUGGAACACCUGAUGGCUGCAAAAUGGAGCCGUCCCCUCUGGAAACUAUUAUUUCUUCCCUGGAUGUGACACGUUUCAGGUCUGAGUGGCUGCUGACCAGGAAGCAGCAAAGGCAGCACUUCACCCAGCUGCUCCUCAGCCCCCUGCCAAGGAGCAGAGAUUGGGGCAAUGUGGUGCUCACUCCUGCUGUCAGCUCAGAGCAAAGCAGCUUCUGCUGAGUGAGAGUCUGUGGUUUUAGUUUGUGGUUCUGUGCCAAUGUAUAUCCGAGCUCACAGGGCACAUUGCUGCUGGGUAUCUCAUGGGUCCACACUGAGCCUGGGAAAGAAAGGCUGCUGAGGGGUCCUGGUGGGAGCUCUCAGUGCUUCAAGGCUGUGUCUGAUGAUGGCUGGCAGCAUCCCUUGAUCCAUCCAGCUGAGCCAGCAGAUCCAAGGAGGAGUGACAUGGUUACAUGCCUGCAGCUGGCAGGUGCACACAGAUGUGCACACAUGCAUGCAACGGGUCCCAGUGAGCUCGCAUGGCAAAGCAAGGCAAGUCAAGGCAGUCUCUUUCCAGCCCUGCAUGGGAGACGGGCAGCAUCGCAGCGGACAGCCGCUCCCCUCCCGGCGCUGCACAUCGUCUGCCCGCAGGCUCCAUCUGGUGGAAAAUCCUCACCCAUAAAGCGGAGAAGAAUCCAGCCCUCGGUCCAGGACCGUGGGACCGCGGCUCAGGGAGCAUCCCGGCUUCCAAACCGCUUGGUAAGGCAAUGCGUCCCUGGACGGUUACUCCGAGAAAUAAAUGUGGUGGAAUUUAUUUCAACAGAUGGAGGACGAUUUUCUCCCGGCCGUUUAAGUGACACAUCGUGCACCUCCCUUCGCCAGCAUCCCUGUGCAGCAGAUUGA